rnacentral:rRNA from 2 species
UCUCUUGGCUCGUGGAUCGAUGAAGAACGCAGCAAAACGCGAUAUGUAGUGUGAAUUGCAGAAUUCAGUGAAUCAUCGAAUUUUUGAACGCAAAUGGCGCCCCUGGGUAUUCCCAGGAGCAUGUCUGUCUCAGUGUCGUUUUCACCUCGAGCGCGCUUCGGCGCG